rnacentral:rRNA from 1 species
UCGAGAAUAUUUGUCAAUGUACGAAAGUAUGAACAUGCGACGCCGCGUGGAGGAUGAAGGCCUUCGGGUUGUAAACUCCUGUCAUGAGGGAAUAAAUGUAUGCAGGCUAAUACCCUGCAUCCUUGACAGUACCUCAAGAGGAAGUCACGGCUAACUCUGUGCCAGCAGCCGCGGUAAUACAGAGGUGGCAAGUGUUGUUCGGAUUUACUGGGCGUAAAGGGUUCGCAGGCGGCUUUGUGUGUCAGAUGUGAAAGCCCACGGCUUAACCGUGGAAAUGCAUUUGAAACUACAGGGCUAGAGUACGGGAGAGGAGAGGGGAAUUCAUGGUGUAGCGGUGAAAUGCGUAGAUAUCAUGAAGAACACCGGUGGCGAAAGCGCCUCUCUGGACCGAUACUGACGCUCAUGAACGAAAGCCAGGGGAGCAAAGAGG